AGCAUGUGGAUUUCGAUUAUAGGCGCACAUCCUCAAGAUGCCAGCUAGACGCAAUUCUGCAGUAAUCCUGAGAGAGACCAACAAACCAGGGAAAAAUAAUAUCCAACAAGAAUGAGAAAACCAAUCAAGAAAAGAUUCCUGUUUAUGUGCCAAACAUCACAGAGCCGACAAGCAGGGCUGAGCUUGUCAAGUAUUGGAUGAAUUUGUUUUUUGAUAACAAGACUGCCAACAAGAUGUUGUGGAUCGGCGAAAGUGCUUCUAAGGUGUGUCGUAGGACUGAGGAGGUUUGUUCCGUCCUGGAUAGACCGGAGAGAUACGAGUACUCUCCAC